rnacentral:lncRNA from 1 species
ACAAAAUCCACAUGGUCAUUGCUUACACGCGCACAAGUAAGCUCAACAAUCUAACUGACUGGAUCCAGAAUAUUUGUUUGUUAUCGAGCGUGCUCUUGAAGAUAUAAGAAUGGGAAGUUCUACCCUCUAGGAAGUUCAGUACAGAACAUUCGAAAGCAUUCCAUACAUUCCAGAACAUUCAAGAACUUUCUGGAAUGUUGUAGACUCUUCAAGAAUAGUCUGGAGCGUUUUAAAACAUUUUGGAUCACCUCAGAUAAUUGAGGAACAUCAUUGAACACUCUGGAAAUUUGUUAAAUAUUCGGGAAUCGUCUGGAGUUUUCGAGAACAUCCCGGAAUAUUCCUGAUCUUAGUGGAACAUUCCAGAACCCUCUCAAAUGUUGUGGAAUGUUCUGGAAAAUUGUGAUUCAAUCAGAGCUUUUUUGUAUUGGAGGAACAACAUCGGGAAUAUCAAGUGUUGUGAACUACUCAACGAGGAUGAAAGGCAGAUCGAGGAAAUCAACCUUAGAAAAUGUUAAACCUCAGUCUGAAAUCCAAUUAGGAAAUGACUUUUCUCAAGCUAACAAAAUCUUGAGAACAAAAUUAACUCAAUUUAUUACAAAAUCUUGACCUUCAAUAUACAAUCUAUGCCAGAAACCACUCCAGUAAACGAAAGGUCUACGUUUCAAAAGCGGUAGCAAUAUGAUGUUUUUUACAAACAUCAUAUUGUAUUUAGGACAGUUCCUUGUUUCUCGAUUGAUAUUAAAGAGUUGUAGUUAUUCUGAAUUCAAUGUAGUAUCAUUUUACUACUGAUUUUUUGGACUACAAUUGUGAAAACUAUUUUGUGAUAUACUAUUUACUAUAUUCAAUUCAUAUGUCAAAUAUUCUGUAAGUGUUUUUUGUUUCGAGAGAGCUUUUUCUUUCAUUUCAUUUCAGUUUUCCAUUGAGUGAAAUUUUA